UUAGAUGUAGCUAAUGCGACGGUCUUUGCAACAGCCACUAUCUAAUGCGACGGUCCUUGCAUUUUGGCGCAAACAUUUUUAUGAGUUCCCUCCUCAUUUUACCUCAAAAUUUAAAACACAGCCAAAAGUAUUGAAUAACUUUUCGGAAAAUUUUAAAAUGCCGCCAACUAUACCUUUUUCUAGAACAUUAGAAUUAAAAAAAAAAAAAUUAAAAAAAGAAAAAGAAAAAAGAAAAUGAGCAUACAGAUGAGUACUCACACUCACGGACAGAAGAAAAACACAAACCCAAUUUCACCUAACCCCCAUUCACUCUCAACUCUUAACUCCCAAUUUCACCUAUACCACCAUUCAAUUUCACUCUCAACUCUCAAAAGAAUCGAAGGCGGCAUAGGAAAGAAGGCGGCCGGCGAAUUGAAGGAAGGAGACGGUCGGAUCGAACAUCACUCAAACGGUGCAAGGUGAACUAAGUGGAGAAGAAAUAUAGCUAUUUAUCAAAUGAUAUAAACAAGGACUCCCUGGCAACUUUCCUUUAGCUAAUGUCUGCUAGCUUUAGAUGGUUUCAACAAUGUUAAGCGUUUUAAUUAUAUCUUGUUACGAACGCUUGCUAAUUUCAGUAUUUUGUAUUAUACCCUUUGGGAAACAAAAUAUUGUAUUACAGAUGUUAUAUCAAUGAAGUUCUAUUUGCAUUUAUAAUAUGAUUCAUUUAAAUGUGUA